UGCUACCAUGCAAGUCGAACGGAGAAUCAGCAAUGAUUCUUAGUGGCGAACGGGUGAGUAACGCGUAGACAACCUGCCUUCUAGAUGGGGACAACACUGCGAAAGUGGUGCUAAUACCGAAUGUUGUAUUAAGCCUGCAUGGGCUUGAUACUAAAGGUGGCCUCUAUUUAUAAGCUAUCACUAGAAGAUGGGUCUGCGUCUGAUUAGCUAGUUGGUGAGGUAAUGGCUCACCAAGGCGAUGAUCAGUAGCCGGUCUGAGAGGAUGAACGGCCACACUGGGACUGAGACACGGCCCAGACUCCUACGGGAGGCAGCAGUGGGGAAUCUUCCGCAAUGGACGAAAGUCUGACGGAGCAACGCCGCGUGAGUGAAGAAGGUUUUCGGAUCGUAAAGCUCUGUCUUUGAGGACGAAUGUGUCUAAUGUGAAUAAUGUUAGAUAAUGACGGUACUCGAGGAGGAAGCCACGGCUAACUACGUGCCAGCAGCCGCGGUAAUACGUAGGUGGCAAGCGUUGUCCGGAAUUAUUGGGCGUAAAGCGCGCGCAGGCGGGAUAUUAAGUCUGUUUUAAAAGUUCGGGGCUCAACCCCGUGAUGGAAUGGAAACUAAUAUUCUUGAGUGCAGGAGAGGAAAGUGGAAUUCCCAGUGUAGCGGUGAAAUGCGUAGAUAUUGGGAGGAACACCAGUGGCGAAGGCGACUUUCUGGACUGUGUCUGACGCUGAGGCGCGAAAGCCAGGGGAGUGAACGGGAUUAGAUACCCCGGUAAUCCUGG
rnacentral:rRNA from 1 species